rnacentral:Y_RNA from 1 species
UCCUGGUCCAAGUGCAGUGGUGUUUACUUUGUUCCUUCAUUCCCACUGCUUCACUUGACUAGCCUAAA